rnacentral:tRNA from 1 species
GGAGAAGUGUCCGAGUGGUUUAUGGUGCAGACCUCGAAAGUCUGAGUCCUUUAACCGGGACCGGGGGUUCGAAUCCCCCCUUCUCCU